AGGUUCGAUUCUGGCUCAGGAUGAACGCUGGUGGCGUGCCUAACACAUGCAAGUCGAGCGGACAUACGGAAUGAAGAGAAUUCGUUCAAAUCGCUGUAUGUUAGCGGCGGAUGGGUGAGGAACGCGUGGAGAACCUGCCCUUCACAGGGGGAUAACAGUUGGAAACGACUGUUAAUACCGCAUAUGCUCACAGUACCGCAUGGUACAGGGAGGAAAGCCGAGACGGUGAAGGAUGGCUCCGCGUCGGAUUAGCCAGUUGGCGGGGUAACGGCCCACCAAAGCGAUGAUCCGUAGCCGGCCUGAGAGGGCGAGCGGCCACAUUGGGACUGAGACACGGCCCAAACUCCUACGGGAGGCAGCAGUGGGGAUAUUGCACAAUGGGGGAAACCCUGAUGCAAGCGACGCCGCGUGAAGGAGGAAGUGCUUCGGCAUGUAAACUUCUAUCAGCAGGGAAGAAGAUGACGGUACCUGCACAAGAAGCCCCGGCUAACUACGUGCCAGCCGCCGC
rnacentral:rRNA from 1 species